rnacentral:rRNA from 1 species
AACGUAGGACGCAAGCGUUAUCCGGAGUUACUGGGCGUAAAGCGCGGGCAGGCGGUCACUCAAGUCUGAUGUGAAAUCUCUCCGCUCAACGGGGAGCAGCCAUUGGAAACUGGGGCGACUGGAGUCUGACAGAGGUAGGCGGAAUUCCGGGUGGAGUGGUGAAAUGCGUAGAGAGUCCGGAAGGAACACCAGAGGCGAAGGCGGCCUACUGGGUCAGUACUGACGCUGAGCCGGCGAAAGCGUGGGGAGCAAACAGG